AUUUCUCACCCACGGUCACAUUUGUCCCCACACAGGCAUUGCAGGUCACGUCAUUCCCAUCCUACAGACAAGGACAUUCACAGGAAAACAUAGCAACUUGCUCCAAGUCAAGCAGCUGGUGAACUGAUGGUGCUCGGGACCCCACCUACCUCAGGUCUUCUGGCAAAGCCAUCCUGCCACCUUUUGGAGCUCACCUUGUGUAAAACCUUCAUUUGGAGGAUCGCAACUUCCCUGAGAGACAUCAGCUCAUGGCAACCUUCUGAUUACCUUGUUACAGGGUGAGACAUAUGAAAAGGAAGCUGGUGUGAACCCCUCUCCUUUCUAUGGGUUCUAAGGCUCUGGUCACCCUCCCUAUCUUACAUGAUGGCAUGAUGGACUCCAACCAAAUAUACCCAGCCCUAGAGGAGACUCUCAUGA